rnacentral:rRNA from 1 species
GACAGAGGGUGCGAACGUUGCUCGGAAUCAUUGGGCGUAAAGCGCGUGUAGGCGGCAUCGCACGUCGGGUGUGAAAGCCCGGGGCUCAACCCCGGCAGUGCACCCGAAACGACGAUGCUAGAGUGCUGGAGAGGCGGGUGGAAUUCCUGGUGUAGAGGUGAAAUGCGCAGAUAUCAGGAAGAACACCCGUGGCGAAGGCGGCUCUCUGGAACGCAACUGACGCUGAGACGCGAAAGCGUGGGGAGCAAACAGG